GACGAACGCUGGCGGCGUGCUUAACACAUGCAAGUCGAACGGAAAGGCCCUGCUUUUGUGGGGUGCUCGAGUGGCGAACGGGUGAGUAACACGUGAGUAACCUGCCCUUGACUUUGGGAUAACUUCAGGAAACUGGGGCUAAUACCGGAUAGGAGCUCCUGCUGCAUGGUGGGGGUUGGAAAGUUUCGGCGGUUGGGGAUGGACUCGCGGCUUAUCAGCUUGUUGGUGGGGUAGUGGCUUACCAAGGCUUUGACGGGUAGCCGGCCUGAGAGGGGGACCGGGCAAAGUGGGGCAGUGAAGAGGGCCAGACCUCCACCGGGGGCAGAAGCGGGGAAUGUGUGACAAUGGGGCGGAGCCAGGGGGCAGCAACGCCGGGUGGGGGGUGAGGCCUAGGGGUGAUGAGCCGGAUGGCGCGUGCGACGGGAGGGGAGGGAGGGAAGUGGGAAAAGAAGCACCGACAAGCUACGAG
rnacentral:rRNA from 1 species